ACCGAGACACUGUAUUUGCAGGAUUUAUUUAAUAUUAAUGGAGGCAUUAAAGGGAUAAUCUAGUACCUGUAAGAUGCUUUUAAAUUUUUUUUCCAGGUUUUGUUUCAAAAAUAGAGGAGCUGCUUCUGACCCAAUUGAUCAAAAAUGCUGUUCUUCAGGAAAGAGUGCAAAACGUCUUCUUUUCAAAGCAAAUGGAUUUGAGGACUGGGUCAUUGUGGUGGAGGAAGUAUUUUUAUCUGGGCCUCAGGAAACAGUGGUCUGGCUAGCAACUGCACUGGUACGGAUGAUUACAUGAACAGUAUUAACUCGGGGCAAAGCAUGCCUUCACUUACCCCUGCCCCAAAACUCCUAGACUACAAGAACUAAUCAAUGUCUGUGUCCACCUGGAAACAUCCAGUGAGCAAGGACUGUGGAAGCAACUGCCCCGAAAUGACCCUUCAAUCUGCAGUGAGGUAAGUCAGAAAUGUGCGAGUAAGAUACUGAUGUGGAUAACCAGAACCCUGCUGAGUUAUAUUUCAAGCAGAAAUUCAACAAGAGGCCAUCACAUACC
rnacentral:lncRNA from 1 species